CCCGACCAUGUUGAGGAACAAUGCUGCUCGAAUUCUCGGCACAUGAUUUCUCACAUUCGUGUAGAAUAGAGGGCGCCGGUGUAUGUAAGAGAAAAACAGUUGCUGGCCGAUAAUAAUCGCCAUAGUUAUCUGAAUUCAAGCUAUCAGAAAACAAAUUUCACAAGUAUUCACAAGAUUUGGUGGAUCGGGUCAGCUGUUUGCAGCUUUUCCACACAAUAGCCACACGUGACUAGACUGUAGAGAACAAAAUGAGACCGUUCUGAAAUGAAAUACAACCGAAAUCCAUUCUUGGGAGAUUUCGUGGUCUGUCGAAAACAAUAGACGCACGUGCCUGUAAUAAAGUUGUCUAAUGCAGAUGCAUACCCAUGACAAUGACAGCAAAACAUUGUUGAAGAAUUUAUGCAUACAAAAAACUAAAAGUAAUUAGUUUUAAAAUAUUACUUUGAAAUAAUACAAAGUUGUGGUCUACCUCCUCUGUUUACUUUUCGUGCAGCAAUUCCCACGCUCCUCUGCCCGAAAUCUCUCUGGUUUCCUCCAAAACCUAAUCUUAUCAAUACGCCAUCCAGAUCUAUACAGUGCCGCCUUCGGGGUUCUGUUCAUAAUGUACUGUUUGCACUGUCGGCAUUUGAAAGAACUCCAAAGCCAGCAUCCACAUAGCGACAUUUGUCGCUGCGGUCGAAAGGUCAAGGUGGGCCAUUGUCUGCCAGGCCCCAAGAGAGUGCCCCAAAACGAUCUGGCGAACCUUUCCCAAUUGGAAUUACCGAAUUCACUUCCGUUUUGCACAAAUUAGCAGUUCCAGGUUCAGCUUCUGCCCCGCAGAUCACUCGCAACCCGGCAGCUGAGACGUGUUUGCGUGCUAAAAGUUCUUACAACUUUUCACACUUUAAAUGAGUUCUGACGACAAUUAAAAUACUUGCAUUUAUAUUACAUAUUUACAAUAAAUGUAUAUACAUACAUAUAGUAUAUGGCUGUAGAAUGCCGGCCCCCAAAUUGGGGAAUAAUGAAGUUUUUAAAAAUACUCGUACUUCCCUUGGAUAUGGCUGUGCCGCGCUUUCGCCCACUAUUAAAGCCCAAUCAUAAAGCGGCGCACACGACUCGUGGUGUUCAUUGCAAGCCAAUUUGGCAAU
rnacentral:sRNA from 1 species